rnacentral:rRNA from 1 species
CCUACGGGAGGCAGCAGUGAGGAAUAUUGGUCAAUGGUCGAGAGACUGAACCAGCCAAGCCGCGUGAGGGAUGAAGGUACAGAGUAUCGUAAACCUCUUUUGUCAGGGAACAAAUGCGGGGACGCGUCCCCGUAUGCGUGUACCUGAAGAAAAAGCAUCGGCUAACUCCGUGCCAGGAGCCGCGGUACGACGGAGGAUGCGAGCGUUAUCCGGCUUUAUUGGGUUUAAAGGGUUCGCAGGCGGUCUGUUAAGUCGGCGGUAAAAGCCCGGGGCUCAACCCCGGCCCGCCGUUGAAACUGGCAGUCUCGAGUUGGAGAGAAGUAUGCGGAAUGCGCGGUGUAGCGGUGAAAUGCAUAGAUAUCGCGCAGAACUCCGAUUGCGAAGGCAGCAUGCCGGCUCCACACUGACGCUGAGGCACGAAAGCGUGGGUAUCGAACAGGAUUAGAUACCCGAGUAGUC